AAAUUGAAGAGUUUGAUCAUGGCUCAGAUUGAACGCUGGCGGCAGGCCUAACACAUGCAAGUCGAACGGUAACAGGAAGCAGCUUGCUGCUUUGCUGACGAGUGGCGGACGGGUGAGUAAUGUCUGGGAAACUGCCUGAUGGAGGGGGAUAACUACUGGAAACGGUAGCUAAUACCGCAUAACGUCGCAAGACCAAAGAGGGGGACCUUAGGGCCUCUUGCCAUCGGAUGUGCCCAGAUGGGAUUAGCUAGUAGGUGGGGUAACGGCUCACCUAGGCGACGAUCCCUAGCUGGUCUGAGAGGAUGACCAGCCACACUGGAACUGAGACACGGUCCAGACUCCUACGGGAGGCAGCAGUGGGGAAUAUUGCACAAUGGGCGCAAGCCUGAUGCAGCCAUGCCGCGUGUAUGAAGAAGGCCUUCGGGUUGUAAAGUACUUUCAGCGGGGAGGAAGGGAGUAAAGUUAAUACCUUUGCUCAUUGACGUUACCCGCAGAAGAAGCACCGGCUAACUCCGUGCCAGCAGCCGCGGUAAUACGGAGGGUGCAAGCGUUAAUCGGAAUUACUGGGCGUAAAGCGCACGCAGGCGGUUUGUUAAGUCAGAUGUGAAAUCCCCGGGCUCAACCUGGGAACUGCAUCUGAUACUGGCAAGCUUGAGUCUCGUAGAGGGGGGUAGAAUUCCAGGUGUAGCGGUGAAAUGCGUAGAGAUCUGGAGGAAUACCGGUGGCGAAGGCGGCCCCCUGGACGAAGACUGACGCUCAGGUGCGAAAGCGUGGGGAGCAAACAGGAUUAGAUACCCUGGUAGUCCACGCCGUAAACGAUGUCGACUUGGAGGUUGUGCCCUUGAGGCGUGGCUUCCGGAGCUAACGCGUUAAGUCGACCGCCUGGGGAGUACGGCCGCAAGGUUAAAACUCAAAUGAAUUGACGGGGGCCCGCACAAGCGGUGGAGCAUGUGGUUUAAUUCGAUGCAACGCGAAGAACCUUACCUGGUCUUGACAUCCACGGAAGUUUUCAGAGAUGAGAAUGUGCCUUCGGGAACCGUGAGACAGGUGCUGCAUGGCUGUCGUCAGCUCGUGUUGUGAAAUGUUGGGUUAAGUCCCGCAACGAGCGCAACCCUUAUCCUUUGUUGCCAGCGGUCCGGCCGGGAACUCAAAGGAGACUGCCAGUGAUAAACUGGAGGAAGGUGGGGAUGACGUCAAGUCAUCAUGGCCCUUACGACCAGGGCUACACACGUGCUACAAUGGCGCAUACAAAGAGAAGCGACCUCGCGAGAGCAAGCGGACCUCAUAAAGUGCGUCGUAGUCCGGAUUGGAGUCUGCAACUCGACUCCAUGAAGUCGGAAUCGCUAGUAAUCGUGGAUCAGAAUGCCACGGUGAAUACGUUCCCGGGCCUUGUACACACCGCCCGUCACACCAUGGGAGUGGGUUGCAAAAGAAGUAGGUAGCUUAACCUUCGGGAGGGCGCUUACCACUUUGUGAUUCAUGACUGGGGUGAAGUCGUAACAAGGUAACCGUAGGGGAACCUGCGGUUGGAUCACCUCCUUACCUUAAAGAAGC
rnacentral:rRNA from 4 species